rnacentral:rRNA from 1 species
UACAGAGGUCUCAAGCGUUGUUCGGAUUCAUUGGGCGUAAAGGGUGCGUAGGCGGCGCGGUAAGUCGGGUGUGAAAUCUCGGGGCUUAACUCCUAAACUGCAUUCGAUACUGCCGUGCUUGAGGACUGGAGAGGAGACUGGAAUUUACGGUGUAGCGGUGAAAUGCGUAGAUAUCGUAAGGAAGACCAGUGGCGAAGGCGGGUCUCUGGACAGUUCCUGACGCUGAGGCACGAAGGUCAGGGGAGCAAACGGG